UGGAGACGCAACAGUUUUCAGUCACUCAGUGACCUCAACCUAGUUGUGAACAGGGACCUGUGUGUCACUCAGGGUUCGUGUUAACCCGGCAUGUGAUCAAAACGGGUACGUGCCCGUGAGUGCAGCUGCCCUCUGAGUCCAGAGAGCUGGAGUUACAGGUGUGUGUGAGCCCUGCCCGGUGCUCAUUGCAAAGCCAGCCCUCCAGCCCCCUAGUAGAUAUGCGUUUCCAGCAGAAGGAACGGCCCAAAUUAAAGGUGUGUCUUUCCUGCCUCAAGAUCUGGAUUAAAGGAAGCAGAUCUUCUGACUUCAGAUUAAGGAAAAUCUCCAAAGGUGUGCCCUCCAUGUUUGGCUUUUAGUUCCAGAUGUAGUCAAGUGACAAUCAAGAACAGCCAUCACAACCCACCCAGGGGCAGGAUGGAAAUC